rnacentral:lncRNA from 1 species
AUCCAGAAUUAAUCCUGGAGGUUCAGAACCGCUCCAGGAGAUCCAGAAACGCUCCAGGAGAUCCAGAAACGCUCCAGAACCUCACCAGGUGAUCCAGAACUGCUCCAGGAGAUCCAGAACCCAUCCAGGAGAUCCAGAAUUGAUCCUGGAGGUUCAGAACUGAUCCAGGGGAUCCAGAACCGCUCCAGGAGAUCCAGAAUUGAUCCUGGAGGUUCAGAACCUCUCCAGGAGAUCCAGAAUUGAACCUGGGGGUCCGGAACUGCUCCAAGGACACCUGUGGAGUAAUUCCAAUCCCUCCAGAACCUCCAGAACCGUUCCAUGGACCCCUCUGGAUCCAUUCCAACUCCUCCAGAACCUCCAGAACCGUUCCAAGGACCCCUCUGGAUCCAUUCUGAGACUUCCAGAACGUUUGGAACUCCUCUGGAACAUUCCAGAACCUCUCUGAGGACCCCUCUGGAUCCCCUCCAGAACCAUCCAGAACCUCUGGGACAUCUUCAAAACCAUUCCAAGGACUCUUCUGGACUCAUCCCAACCCCUCCAGAACCAUCCAGAACCUCCGGGACUUCUCCUUAACCUCCGGCACCACUCCAGGGACUCCUCUGGAUCCCCUCCAUGACCAUCCAGAACCAUCCAGAACCAUCCAGAACCACCCAAAGGCCUCCAAGAACCUUUGGAACUCCUCCAGAACCAUCCAGAACCUCCGAAACCACUACAAGGACACCUCUGGAUCCAUUCCAACCUCUCCAGAACCUCCAGAACCGCUCCAAGGACCCCUCUGGAUCUCCUCCAGGACCACCCAGAACUUCUGGAACUUCUCCAGAGCCUCCAGAACUCCUCCAGAACCGCUCUGAGGACUCCUCUGGAUCUCCUCCAGAACUUCUGGAACUUCUCCAGAGCCUCCAGAACCUCCAGAACCGCCCCGAGGGCCCCUCUGGAUCCCCCCAAGGCUUCCAGAACCAUCCGGAACCUCCAGCAGCAGCUCCAGGGACUCCCCCGGCGGCUCCGGGUGCAUUUUAAGCUUCACUCGCGUCUAUUUUUAAGCUCAGAUGGUUUCAAAGAUAUUUUUUUAAAACUCCUCGUCCACGGACGCCCCUCGGGAAUUUUCUUUGGGAAUUUCGGAUCCCCCCGAGCCUGCCCAUCCCAAAGGGGAUUUGAUUUAAUUUAAUUUAAUCUAAUUUAAUUUCAUUUUAUUUUAUUUUAUUUUAUUUUAUUUUAUUUUACUUUAUUUUAUUUUAUUUUAUUUUCUAAACAUUUAAUUUAAUUUUGUUUUUCAAGAUUUUAUUUUAUUGUAUUAUCUUAAUUGUUCAUUAUUAAUCUAACUUUAUUUUAUUCAUUAACUUUACUCCAUUUAUUUUAUAUUAAUUUAACU